GAUGAACGCUAGCGGCAGGCCUAAUACAUGCAAGUCGAACGAUACUUUCCAGCUUGCUGGAAAGGAAAGUGGCGCACGGGUGCGUAACGCGUAUGCAACCUACCUUAAUCAGGGGGAUAGCCCGAAGAAAUUCGGAUUAACACCGCAUAAAAUCACAGUACAGCAUUGUACAAUGAUCAAAUAUUUAUAGGAUUAAGAUGGGCAUGCGUGACAUUAGCUAGUUGGCGGGGUAACGGCCCACCAAGGCGACGAUGUCUAGGGGAUCUGAGAGGAUGACCCCCCACACUGGUACUGAGACACGGACCAGACUCCUACGGGAGGCAGCAGUAAGGAAUAUUGGUCAAUGGAGGCAACUCUGAACCAGCCAUGCCGCGUGCAGGAAGACAGCCCUCUGGGUCGUAAACUGCUUUUAUUCGGGAAUAAACCUACUUACGUGUAAGUAGCUGAAUGUACCGAAGGAAUAAGGAUCGGCUAACUCCGUGCCAGCCGCCGCAGUAA
rnacentral:rRNA from 1 species